GUUUUGAGUUGAAGUUCAGCAGUACGUCUGUCUGUAUUCACUCUAUUUUUCACGGCUCGCAGGAAAAGUUCCUCAUAUCUAAACAACACCUAUCUGGAUUGGGUACGACAGCUGACGGUGAUAGAUAGCUGGGUCCAGGAUAGGCCUCCUGAGGAGUUAUGUGCUGGCCCGGGACAAGGAGCCAGGUGCCUCCUCCUCGGACCCUCCACCUGUCGCUAAAGUGCUUGAGCGCUGAGGUCGACUCUCCCUGUACUGCACGUACAGGGACGCCCCACCAGCAGUGGUCCCCUCUUCCUGUCUCUCCUCCUCUCAGCAACCACUUCAACAUUGACUUCCCCUCCACAAGGACCGGGACCUUGCCGUGGUGUGGAGGUUUCAUACAAACACCGGUCCACCCACCCUGCAACAACUCUUCUACAGGACAGUGACACUACGUUUCUUUAAAAAAAAAAAAAAAAACAUUCUAUGUCUGCUGUGAUGUGAUGUAUGUGGUUUAAAAAAAAAAAAAAAAACAUCCACACCACUGUGUUCUGCAUUCUGCAUCUCUACACUGAACACUUAUGCCGUGUGUCUGCUCUGAUGUUUUUAUUUUUUAUUAUUGUUUUGUAGUUUAAAAUAAACAAUCUAUAUGUAUAAUAUAUAGAAUAUAUAACA